CUGCAUAGGAGGAGGACAAGGCUUCACUGGCUCCACCGGUGGUUUAGGUUUUUCAGGAGGUGGUUUAGGCUUUUCGGGAGGCGGUGGAGCCGGUUUAGGUUUUUCGGGAGGCGGUGGAGCCGGUUUAGGUUUUUCGGGAGGUGGUUUCUCAACCGGCGGCGGUGGCUUGGGCUUCUCUGGCUCUUUGAUCUCGAUGCUUUUUAUGGCACCUCCACCUUUGCAGCAAAUCUUGUCUCUUAUCUUUUCUGGACUACAGCAUACCACUUUGAUCACCACUUGGUUUUGCUUCUCGUCGUAUAUCUGGUCUCGUAUUUCUCUUGUUCACAAACACACAUUAAUUUACUUAGUCUACAAUUAAUCUUAAUUUUCCAAAAAGGUAGAACUUUUGAUUUUUCAUCAAAUAAUUAUAAAUGAAGCAAGGAGAAGAGAGACUCACGAGGGAAUUUACAAAGAACUUUUUUGACUUUCUUGUAGCAUUUGUGACACUGAAGAUCCACCUUCAGCACCAUAAUCGUAACCUGAAUUACCCAUAUUAAUAUUAAUAGAAAAAAUAUGUACAUUAACCAAAUAUUGACAAGAAUGAAUAUUCAGAAAAUGUAUAAAUAAUACAGAAGAUUGUUGUGCAAAAGUGUAGACAAAAAGAAGUGGAACAGUGCUGCUGGACAAUCAGGGUUCUUACUGACUGACUGGGAAGAAUCAUGAUGAAGGUAUGUGGCAAAGUCAGUAACAGAGAGAGAGAGAGAGAGAGAGGGGAAAAAAACAACAAAAUAGCACAGAGGAGGGGACUUGGAUUCUUAUUAGGAUAUAAAUAAAAGAAUAGGAACCACAAAACUUAAACAAGAGCUUAAAGCCUUUUAGUUUUAGCCAUACAAAUCAUCAUUUUGGUUAUCUGCUUAUCCUCAGAAGAAGAAAAAAUGAAGAGAACACAAACUAUACCAAAUAUUGCGUACCUUUUCCUUUUCCCCCAUUGUAGUGAGUAGUGGAUGCUCUCAGGCUCAGAUCUAAAGGAUAACUUCUCAACUAAAAUGAUUGAAUGGGACAACUACUCUCACAGAACUGACUUAUAUAUAUACAAAAAUAUAUAAAAAUAGGAAUACAAUUCGGUGGAACAAGGUAAAGGGAAAGAGAAGGAGGGCAGUAUUUGAUUGAAGUGGUUUAUUAAAAAAAAUCAUGACAAAUUGCUUGUUAAGAAAGGUUUCUUAGGGAUCAAGAGGAUUUCGUGAUUGUAACCGUUCAUCGUAUAUUAUGUGAUCAGUUUUCGUUAGAUACUAUUUAUAUUUAUUUUAAUUUUUAAUUUUAAAAUAAUUUCUGAUCACACGAUAUACGAAGAACUAUCACGAUCACGAAAUUCUCAUAAUCCCCAAACGAGGAUCCUUUGCCGUUAAGAAAGAAUGAAAAAAAAAAGAGCGCGCACAAUAAUUCGUACAUAGGGCCAAUGGGAUGCUGAUAUUGGAAGGUUGAUUUCGGCCCCGUUUGGGAUUGAGAUGAUUUUAAAAAAAGUCACUGUGAAAAAAAGCUGAGGGUCAUUUUUGUGUUUGGUAAACUGAAAAAAAAAAGCUUAUUUUGGAAGCUGCUGUGAGAAUAAGCUGAAAAUCAAAGGAAAAGCUGAAGCUGCUAUUUGCUGCUUUGAAAAAAAGCCAAUUUUUUCAAAGCACACGGAGCUACAGUGCUCCUUUAAUGAAAAGACACACUAUCAUCCUGCUUUUUUUUCCAAAAGCACUUUCACAAAAAAGUUUACCAAACACUCUACUGGCUUUAUUUCACAGCCGCUUAUUCUCACAGCACAACCGCUUAUUCUCACAGCAGCUUUUUUUCAAAGCACAACAAUACCAAAUCAGCCAUUCAUGCUAUGGUGGACAAAAGCUUCAUUGUAACUGUAAUACGGGUAGUACAUUACGUGUAAGUGAUGAGAAAUUUUAUUUUUUAAGUUAUUAAUUUUUUUUAACAUAAAUAUUUUAUAUUUUUAUAAUAACACGUGAUAUACCAUUUUAUAUUUUAGAUUGAAAAAUAUCUCGCUGUAAUGAUUGUGGGUUGUCGUUAUACGAAGUGACUUUCUGAUGGUCGCUAAAAGUUGCAGUUUCUUGCAUAUGCAUGUGCUGGCUUUGAUUCACCCACCUCACCUUCCAUACUUUCCAACUUCCUGCUAAUAUUAUUAUAAGUAAAUGAUUAAUUAUCAAAAUAAAAUUACAUCCUAAGUUAAUUAUAAUUAUUAAAGUUCACAUAGAGUUUGGUGGGCAGGAGAGCUGCCAAUAUUAUUUCAAGAUCGUCAUAUUAAUGGAGAAAAAACUCUAUUGUAAGGUCGAUAGUUUGGUCAAGUACAAUUAUGGAUCAUGCACCCCCACAUGGCACAUGGAAGUUCCUCCAGUUGUCCCUACAUCUUAAGUAACAACAGGUGCCACCCGUCUUUGACCAGCUACUUGAAGUUUGGUUUGUUAAUCCAAACCGGUGAAGAAACGUCUAGUAAUUAGGGUAACGACUUGGAUGCAAUUGAUACGUCAUCAUUUUAGAACCACACGUACAUACAUGAUGCAAUCAUAUAUAUGUGGAAUUUGGCGUAGAAAGAAAGAAUGUGAUAAACCCUAUAAUCUGCAAUGUACUGGAGAGAGAAUGGAUGAUCAUAAUUGAAAAAGCGUGGGCUCCAGACGGCGAAGGUGUGGCUACUGCCUCGGAAAGCCGUUCCAAGUGUCCCAACUUCAUAGAGGUGGGUUGGCUCACACGAUAGUGGUUGAUCAAUCCGAUUUGAUCUUUUCUUCUUGUUUAAGGUUUUAGUGAUCCAUUUAUUAAGUGCAUCACAGCUCAGUCAUUUGUACGUAAGACUUGAUAUGUUUAGUUUUGAUACAACUAGGAUGAAUAAAUAUCCAUUGGUUUGGAUGGUCGUGGUUAUCCGUUCAUUUAAAUUUCACGGUUACGGUUAUAGAUAACUGUUUAGAUAAAUAAACGGUUAUGGGUAUAACCAUUUACCCGUGAAAUUUAAAUUGACGGUUAUGGGUAUUAAUCGUGGUUAUAAACGGGUAACCAUUUACCCAUUUAUUUUAUAUAUGUAAAAUUAACACAAACCAUGUUCCCUAUCGGACAAAACUUAGAUCAAUGUUAUUGACUGUAGUGCAUGAUUUCUAUAGCUAAUAUAAUAUAACUUUCCUUAACCACUUUAAAUUUCAUGAUCCAAUAUAUAUAUAUUAUGUUAAUAUUUUACAUUCUGAGUUAAAUAACCCAAGAAUAUUGUCUUUUAACAAUUCUCGUAACCCAAUAAUACUUAGCAAAUUUUAUAUUUGUUAAGGGUAGUUAGGUAAAGUUGUGAUAAGUUUGUUUUACUUUACUUAGCUAUUAAGAUAAGUAGUGAGAACAUAUGUAAAUGAUGGUAUAUAUAAUACCAAGUGUAAUAUUAUUCAGAAAUAUAAUUCACAAUUUUAUUUCUUCUCUCUCUCUAAACUUUCUUACUAAAUCUCUCUCUCUCUAAACUCUCACAUGGUAUCACUCGCCGGUGUCUAACGACCUCCGACGAUCCUUCGUCUCUCUGCGUUCUCUGCGUUCUCUGUGUUCUCUCCUUUUGCUUCUUGUCGCUACCAACAAUGGCGGUUUCGUCUCCCUCUGAUUCUACCUCGCAGCCAUCUUCUGCAGAUUCUUCGGCCCCAAAUUCGUGCCCUAAUUCGAUCAGUUCGAUCACUAUUCAGAAUAUUGGUUCGCUGGUUCCGAUUAAACUCACAACUACAAAUUGGAUCACCUGGAGUGCUUUAUUUGCACCCAUUUUUCGUCGGUACAAUCUCACCGGCCUCAUUGAUGGAUCUCUGGUGGCGCCGCCCAUGUAUCUUCUGGAUUCUUCAGGAAAUCGCACUUCGACUGUGAAUCCUCAAUAUAUCACCUGGUUUGAGAAUGAUCAAAACAUUCUGAUCUGGAUCAAUUCGACACUCUCGGAUUCUCUGAUUCCCUACACUGUUGGUGUUACCUCUGCUCGAGAUCUGUGGGCAAAACUGGAAUCUCGUCUUGCUACAGCGUCGCAAUCACAUAUUCAUGAACUGCGCUCUCGCCUUCACACGAUUACCAAAGGUGAUUCCACUGCGGCUGCUUAUCUUCAACAAAUUGAAGAAAUUGCGGAUGCUCUUGCGACUGCUGGUGCUCCGAUUGCUGAUUCGGAACUCAUCUCUGUUCUUCUUCAUGGCUUACCGCCUGAAUAUGAUGCUUUUGUUGAUACUAUUCAAUUUCGUCUUGGUUCCACUACUGUUGAUGAGUUACAUGGCUUAUUGCUUAGUAAGGAGAUUCAAUUGGCAAAUCGCAAGAAGGUUUCUUCCUCAGUGCCAUUUCAAGCAUAUCAUUCCUCUGCUGGUCUUCUCCCUACACCACCUGCUGAUUCUUCUUCUCAGGCGUACUUUGUUUCUUCUCAUGGCCGUGGCUUCGAUCGGACUUUUUCUCAUCCUAGAAAUUUUCAGAAUUUCUCUCGCCAAGGUCAGACUUUCAGUCGCCAAGGUCCGAAUUUCUCUCGCCAAGGUCAGUAUUUCUCUCGCCAAGGUCAACAGAAGAAUAAUCGUGGAUCCAAACCUAAUUUCCACAACUUCAACCGCAGACCUUCCUGUCAAUUUUGCCGUCAAUCUGAUCAUGAGGCUAUUGAUUGUCCGCAUCGUCUGAAUCCUAACUAUGGUACCAAGCAUUCACAAACUGCAUAUCAUGCGAAUACUGCUUCCAAUGCUUUCACUCCUUCCACUGCUUCCAAUGCUCCCACAUGGCUUCUUGAUACCGGUGCCAGUUCUCAUAUGACCAACUCGUAUACAAAUCUUCAAAGUCCUGAACCCUACAGUGGUCCUGAUCAAGUUUAUAUUGGCGAUGGCAAAGGUUUGCCUAUCACUCAUUCUGGUUCUUCUUGUCUUCCUACCUCUACUCAUACUUUUAAUUUGCACAAUGUGUUGCAUGUUCCUGAUCUGAAACAAGAUUUGAUUUCUGCCAAUCGAUUUAUAGUUGAUAAUUGGUGCUCCAUUCAUCUAUAUCCUUUUCACUUCCUUGUGAAGGAUCUUACUUCGGGGAAGGAGCUUUUUAAGGGUCCUGUCAAAGCUGGCUUCUAUCCUUUUCUUGCACCUUCUGUUGCAGACAAUCAUCAAGCUUAUGUGACCAGUACUACAGCUCCUCAGGGCAUUUGGCAUCAACGCUUAGGCCAUCCAUCAUUCAAGAUUUUACAUAAACUAGGCUCUCAGUCUCGUAUCUCUUGUUCAUAUCACAUUCAUAAAUUUGUAUGCUCUAGUUGUGCUUUAGGCAAAUGUUCUCGCAAACCAUUUACCUCUGUCUCUUGUACAACAACUAAGCCUCUUAAGCUGUUGCAUACUGAUGUAUGGGGUCCUGCGCCCGUUUCUUCUGUUAAUGGAUUUCGGUAUUAUCUUCUAUUGGUUGAUGACUUUUCCAAGUAUUCAUGGUUCUUUCCACUGCAAUAUAAAUCUGAGCUUUUCAGUACCUUUGUUCACUUCAAAUCUGUGGUUGAAAAUCUCUUGGGUUUCAAGGUUAUUACUCUGCGAUUUGAUUCUGGUGGAGAGUUUGUUAAUCAUCAAUUUUCUGAUUUCUUGAAGACACAUGGGAUCUCUCAUCAACUGAGCUGCCCUCAUACUCCAGAACAAAACGGGUGUGCUGAAAGAAAGCACCAGCAUUUAGUCGAAAUUGCUCGGACUCUUCUUACAGCAUCUCAAGUACCUCAUUCUUAUUGGGUUGAAUCCUUCUCCACGGCUCUUUAUCUCAUCAAUCGCAUGCCUACUGGUAGUAAACUCUCUCCUUGGGAAAUCUUGUUUCAUAAACCCCCAGAUUACACAACUUUGAAAGUUUUCGGUUGUAGGUGUUAUCCUUGGCUCCAACCUUACACUUCCUCUAAACUUGAUCCGAGAAGCAAAGCUUGUGUCUUUUUAGGCUAUAGCCUUAAUCAUAAAGGUUAUCGUUGUUUGGAUGCUCAAACUGGGCGAAUUUAUAUUCUCGCCAUGUUAUCUUUGAUGAAACCACAUUUCCUUUUCAUUCUUCUUCCCCUCCUGUUCGUCCUUCCUCUUCCGUUCCAUCUAUUUUCAAUUCCCCCUCCAUCCCAACCUCAUUAACAUUUACUCAUUCCUCUCCUGUCUCAUUACCUGUCUCUGAUUCCCUUUCCUCAUCUCCUUCUUCUUCUCCAGAUUCCUUACCACCCUCUUCUCUACCUAAUAUUCAUCCUAUGACCACUCGAUCAAAAUCUGGUAUUUUUAAACCGAAGGCUCUUCUAGCAACUAAGCAUCCUCUUUCAUCCUCUUUAUCUCUUGAUUACACACCUUCCACCUACCUUCAAGCCUCUAAACACUUACCCUGGCGCCAAGCUAUGCAGGAAGAGUUCAAUGCGCUUCUUCAAACUGGUACCUGGUCUUUGGUUCCUCCUACUUCCUCUCAGAAUUUAGUAGGUUGUAAAUGGGUUUUUCGUAUUAAACGGAAACCUGAUGGCUCAGUGGACAGAUACAAAGCCCGUCUGGUUGCCAAGGGGUUUCAUCAGCAACAGGGCUUAGACUACAAUGAGACAUUCAGUCCGGUUGCCAAACCAGUCACUAUCCGCAUUCUCUUAACCCUUGCAGCUAAAUUUGAUUGGUCUAUCAAACAGUUGGAUGUGAGUAAUGCUUUUCUGCAUGGCACCCUCACUGAGUCUGUUUUUAUGGUUCAACCUCCCGGGUUUGAAGAUCCUACUCAACCCCAUCAUGUCUGUCAAUUGCAUAAGUCCCUGUAUGGUCUCAAACAGGCUCCCCGAGCCUGGUAUGCCAAGUUAACAACUGCAUUACAGUCUCUUGGUUUCUCCGGAUCCAACAAUGAUCACUCUUUAUUUGUUAAGAACGGUGAUUCCGUGGUUUAUGUCUUGGUCUAUGUGGAUGAUAUCCUGGUCACUGGCCCUGAUUCUGCAGCUUGUCAAUCUGUGAUUUCUCAACUCUGUGCAUUAUUUCCUGUUAAGGAUUUGGGACUCCUGCAUUAUUUUCUUGGUAUUGAAGUCAAGCGAUCUUCCCAGGGCAUCUUCAUCAAUCAGACUAAAUAUAUUCUGGAUCUUCUCAACAAGGCACACAUGGAUGGUGCUAAACCUUGUGUUACUCCUCUGAGUACUUCUAAUUUGGAUCAUUCUUCUCCCUUACUGUCCAAUCCUGAAGACUACAGAUCCUUAGUUGGCGGUCUUCAAUACUUAACCUGGACCCGACCCGAUUUGUCCUUUGCAGUCAAUCUCGUAUGUCAGUUCAUGCACACUCCUCGGGAAUCACAUCUUCAGGUUGUCAAGCGUAUUCUCAGAUACUUGAAGGGCACGAUUACUCUUGGUCUUUGGUUUCCCAAAUGCUCUGCACCCCUCAGUAUUAAUAGUUUCUCCGAUGCCGAUUGGGCAGGUUGCACUAUUGAUCGGCGUUCCACAGGUGGUUUUUGUAUUUUUCUGGUUGAUUCUCUUAUUAGUUGGAGUGCCAAGAAGCAACCCACUGUUGCUCGAUCCUCCACUGAAGCGGAAUAUCGUUCUUUAGCUAAUACUGCUGCUGAGUUAACUUGGAUCUGCAAGCUGUUAGUUGAUAUUGGUCUCCUGCUUCCGUGCCCUCCUAAACUUUGGUGUGAUAACAUAUCUGCUCUUUCUCUUGCUAAGAAUCCUCCAUUUCAUGCUCGAACCAAGCAUGUGGAGAUUGAUUAUCACUUUAUUCGUGAGAAAGUUUUGGCCAACUCCAUCACUGUGCAUUUUGUCUGUACACAGGAUCAAACUGCCGACAUAUGUACUAAGGCUUUAUCCAAGGAUCGGUUUCUUUUUCUCCGUGACAAACUCUCACUUCGGCUACCUCAGCUUAGUUUGAGGGGGGAUGUUAAGGGUAGUUAGGUAAAGUUGUGAUAAGUUUGUUUUACUUUACUUAGCUAUUAAGAUAAGUAGUGAGGACAUAUGUAAAUGAUGGUAUAUAUAAUACCAAGUGUAAUAUUAUUCAGAAAUAUAAUUCACAAUUUUAUUUCUUCUCUCUCUCUAAACUUUCUUACUAAAUCUCUCUCUCUCUAAACUCUCACAAUAUUAUCUUCAUUGCUAACAGUUAAAAAUAUUGUCUGUAAAAUAUUAUUUCAAUUAUUGGAAUAGUAUAAGGACUUAAAAAAAUUAAAAUGCGGAAAUGUAUGAUGAAUGUACCUAUAACGGUGUUUAAUUGUUAGAAAAAGAAAAUUAUGACAAAAUUUUCUUUUUUAAUUUUCAAGUUGUUGAAAAAACACGUAGACGGGUGAAAAAUGAGUAAAUGGUAAAAAAGAAAGGAUAAACGGGUUUAAAAAUGAUAAAUGGGUAAAUAGGUACUAAACGGUUACGGUUAAAUGGGUACACGGUUAUGGGUAUGGUUAACCGUUUAUAAACGGUUAUGGGUAUGAGUAUAACCGUUUAGACAAUUACCCAACGGGUAAACGGUUAUGCGGGUAUGAAAAUAAACGGUUAUGGAUAAAUAAUCGCGGUUACCCGCCGGCCAUAAUCGUUGCCCAUCCCUAGAUACAACCGACAUGGGAAAUGAGGAUGAGAUUAGUGGACAUUAGGUGCAACGAUAUUUAAAUUAAUUAGUCGUUCACUUAAUCAUCUUUUUGGUAGUACACUACACACCCUAACAAUGGUCAAAAGUAGUGUGCUGGUGUAUCAUGUUGCCUAGCUAGCUACUUAUUCAUAUUUUGUGGUUGCGAACUGGCUUCUGGGAUUGUGGCAACACAAAAAAUAGGAAAUUCUUCAGGCAACGUGCAUGUGUGCCGAUCAAUUUAGGGUUCAAAAUUGUGGAAAUAUGAUGUACAUACUACGUAUACCGGUUCAAUUAAUCUUUUUUACUUUAUACAAGACCAACGUGCGUUGUCUUGUUAUUUGAUCGAUUAAAAUUUGUUAUCAUUGGGUAAUAUAUAUUUGUGACCUCAGCUUAUCAAGAAAUAUGAUUUAAUAAUAAUAGUUUUGUUGUCCUUUGGCUCUCUUGAUUUUAUUUUAUACAUUAAAAAUUGAUUUCACUUUCCUUCCUGCUUCCUGCUUCUGCAUGCAUACAAUAUUGCUAAGCUUUGCAUUUUGGACAUAUCGAAUGCUUUUUAACUCAACUUUUGUCUUUGAAUUACGUUGUUUUGUGGAUGCACGGGAUCGGUUGUUAGAUAUCUCGUCUUGAUCGCUGUCGUGCAAGUAGUACAUACGUAAUACAAAGAUUAGGCAGAGGUAACUUUGCGUAAUUUUUUGUGCCACUCUAUGCUGGGACUAGGAUUAUCUUCCCUCUUUUUUUUCCUCCUCUUCCCUCCCCUCCUAUUUGAAGUGAACGGUCAUGGUUAAGUCAUGUCAACAUUUUAUGUUAAUUUUACAUAUAAAAAGAAAGACAAAAUAGAGAAUGUGAGAUGAGGAGAGGGAAGUGGAUGGAAAAUGAGAGGAGAGAAUCCUAGUCCCUAUGAUGUGCACAGGUGUGCGUAUCGCCUACACAUAACGUCUUGGAGAUGAAAUCUCAGCCCGUGAUUAUGACGGUUCAUCGUACAUCCUGCAAUUAGAAAUCAUUUCAAAAUUUAAAAUUUAAAAUUAAAUAUAUAGCACCUCACGAAAACUGAACCGCACUAUGUAUGAUGAACAGUCACGAUCACUCGAUCCUUAGAAUCCCUAGAAAAAGAAUCCGACGAGGAUCAUUUUCCAUCCCAGCCUUCCACCUCUAGGGCCUUAAAACCAACGGAUGUGAUGAGUGCUAAAUCCCUUGUACGCAACCCAUGCGCAAGGGAGAAAUUCUGCCGACACUGUUUUCUCACCCUAAUCGAAUGGACUUAGCAGCUUCAAUAUACCCACCACAGGCCUAAGUUUGCAAGAAUUUAGGUCGAUUCUGAAAUAUUGAAGCCCAAAAUUAGAAGUGGUUUUAAAAUGGAAUUGAGAUUUUUCGUCACCAGACUUGACCCAGCAAUGUUGGCAACGAAUACAGUACACACCCACCCACGCCCAUCUAGGAAAUCCCUUAAUCUUAACGCACAAAACCCUUUUGGUAAUUGACAUUUUGAGAAGCUUCCUGGCUCAGAAAAUGAUAAAACCAUGCAACCAAUAAUCAUAUUUUAUUGUCUUAGUGCACUGUACAAGGGAUUAAUCAGCGGUGUCUAUACAUAACACAUGAAAGUUAACAUAUUCCUGCUCAUCUAUCUCAUAUGUAGAAGAGAUGUAAACGUUUCUAUUUGACUUUUAAUAGAUUUCUCUUCCUAUUGAGUAGGGAAACGUAAAGAGUGAGGUUCUUUACAUUGUGAUCCCGUUAAAAUUUGAAUGGUGUUGUUGUGUCCCAUAUAUUGGUCCCAUUGAGUAGAGAAAUGUCUACAUGAUUCUAUCACAAGCAAAGAACGUGCCCUGUAUCUUGAGAAUUAUGAUAGCAUAAAUAAGCCUCAGAAAGUAAGCAUCUAAGGUCACUUCAGUCUGUGACGGUCAGGGUCGACCUUGAGGGUAGCUGGGUAAGGCGAUCGCCUAAUUCCACCGACUUCUAGGGGCCCCCAAUUUUUUUAUAUGUAUGUAUUAGUAUAUAAAUACUUUUAAAGUAAGACAGAUAACACAAAAAACUUGGUGGCUAGUGGAAAAGAAGGCAUUUAUUUGGUUACCAUCUCUUGUUCGAAACAUGAUGAAGACUCCCCAAACAAGUAUUGUUUUUCCAAAUAUAAUUAGAAAGCCUAAUCUAAUAACAAUUUAGAUUAUGUAAACUCAAUUAGUACAUUUGCAUCUAAAAAUGAGAGACAUGUAUUAUCUAAUGUUUAUAUAUCUUUCUUGUUUUAGUAUUAAUUUUUAAUAGUAUUUGAUGUAGAAAUACAUUUUUUUUCAUGUAUUAGCGAAUUAUUUCUUCUACAUAUCAAUGUACAAAGAGUCGGGGGUUCGAUAAUUCUAGAGCCCCACUUUUAAAGCUCGCCUAGAGCCUUCAAAUUCUUAGGGCCGACCAUAGUGAUGGUGCCAAUUGGCCUUUCUAAUAGCUUGAAUGGAAACAGAAGUUACAACAAUACACUUGUUUUGUACCUCCUAUCAUUCUCAUGUUGGAGUGACUCCCAAAUGGUUUUGAUCAUAAGGAAUUUUCAAAAUUUUCAUAGCAUACAAAAGGAAACUAGACUUUUUCACUUAUUCGAUUUCUUAAAACUCAUUCAGCUAUGCUCUAACCGAUGAUGUUAUUCAAAUCACAUCAUUGACCUUGUUCCCAUCUGAUGUCCUAUCCUACAUAUAUUGAUUAUAAAUUUAAAAAGAGAGAGGGAGAGUCCUAGAGAGAGAGAAAGAGAGAGAAAGAGAGAGAGGGACAAUAGGAAAAAUGGGGAAGAGUCCCUUCUCUUUCAAGAGCAUUACUACUGAGUACGAUGCAAGAUUUCUAAGAACUUCACUAACUUCGUAAGACUAAUGAAAGAAGAUUUCAUAGUUGAAUUCUAAUGGUACAAAAUUGUUCUCUACGCCCAUAGAGAAUUCCAAAAACAUAUAAAUAGAGAACUGACAAGCAGCAAAUACCAGUUUCACAUUACAUUUUCAGUGUGAUGAGCUUUGUCAGUAAACUAAACAACCCAACAUCUAAGCAGUAACUAACUCAGAUGAACUUCUAGACUCUAACCAUGACUUGAUUGCAACUUUUGUUGUAAAAAACUAGCCAGCCUUGUGUGAGGCCUCAUGGAAUAGAGCAUUCGAUUCCUUCAAAUGCAACUCAAAUACACUCGCCAGACCUUUGUCUUAAUACUUAUGUUUCCCAUGUCCAUUAUUAAUUCCAAGCAACGGCAAAAACUCCUCACCGGAUUCCAAUACUCGAGAUAGGUCGUUGAUCCAAACAUAUAAUGCAGUCAAAGCUGCCCCAAGAGAGAGGCCCUUGAGAUACAAAGACUACUGGGUCUAAGACCUUGACUGUAAGCCUAUAUAUAUCUUAAGUGUGAUCCCCAAGUCUAGUAGCUCAUAGGCUCUCUCCAAGAGAUUGAGGUUCACACAAAGAUCAAUCAGGCAAUUGCAGUAAGCCUUCUUUACAUCCGAACCAAUCGAGUUAACAAGUUGUGAUGCUUCGUUCUUGAAGUUUUCACUACUUUCUUGCUUCUCCACUAAAAGUCUUACCACAUACCCUAGUUUUUCAUCAACCCUCUCAAUACAAUUCACAAGCUUGCAAAGUUCUUCCUUUGGUGUUUGAGUCAUCACAUUCAGGAGACAAUCACAGAAGCGCUCAUCUGGUGUUAUACCCAAUUCUAGGAGUUGAUCGAAUAUCUUGACAACGUCGGUGCAUUUUACCUUACCCUAACAUUGGAUGAGUGAUGUCAAAAUAAAGAUAUUUGGCUAAAAACCAGCUUCCAACAUCUCAUUCAAUGUUGUUUCUGCCUCUAUGACUUUCCACGCUACAGGAAUAUAUGGUAAUCAUGGACGAAAAUGUCCAACUGUCAGGCUUCAGUGUUUCAGAACUCUUCAUUUCUUCAAAAAUGUCAACGGCUUCGUCGGUGUAACCAACAUCAGCACACAUAGCUAAAAGGGUGUUAUAGAGAAUUACAUUUAACUCUAAUCCCUUUUCCUUCAUCUCUUUAUAAACAUUAAGAGCAUCAUCACGGUAAUGAGCUCUACCAUAGGCCCUUAAAAGACUUGCAUAGGUUACCCAAUUUGGUGAAAGCUCAUUGCUGAUCAUCUCUCGGUAAAUUUUCUUGGCCUGCCAAGGCCUCCUAGCUCUUCCCAUAGCAUCCAACAAAGUGUUAUAAAUAACCAAGUUUGGCUUAGCCCCUAUAGCUUUCAGUUCCUCAUAAACAUUCAAGCACCCAUCAAAAUUCCUCGAUUGCUCGUGAAUUUUGAUCAACGUAGAAAACGUCACUGGAUCAAUGUGCCACUUCUCAGUCCUGGCCCGAUCAUACAAACUGAAAGCCAUUUCAACCUUACCCGCUCGUCCAUAGGCGUCAAUCAUAGCCAAAUAGGUAACAUUAUCCAGAUUACACCCAAAACCAGGCAUCUUCUCAAACCACUCCACAGCCUUAUCAAGCAAAGAACACAUCCCAAAGCAACUAAUCAUAGUCGAAAAGGUUACAUUAUCGGGGUUAACACCUCUCUGGAGUAUUUCGUCGAACAGCUUCUCUGAUCUCUCCAUAUCCUUACCCUUCCUACACACUUUCAAAGUCACAUUAUACAAAAUUCUUAACACACUGAAGAGAUCAAGAACAACUCACAGAUUAUACAAAGAAGAAGAAGAAAGGGUUAGAGAAGAAGCUAUGAAUCUCAAAGAUCUGCAAUUAUAUUUCUGUAUUCUCUACCAAUACAUGGAAGUAAAAGCACACUUUAAACUUUUCUAAUACAUUGAUUUAAAAAGUAAGCUACCAAUCCCAUGUGCACAGUACAUGUCAUUUACACUCCUAUCUAAUAUCAUGUGCACAUCACAUGUUAUUUACAUUCACAUCCAAUACACAUCUCAAUCUUAAGUAGGGUAACCUAACUUAAGAUUGAAACAAUGCCUUAAGAAAUCAGGUCCGUGCAAAUCCUUUGUGAGAAUAUUUGCAAUUUGAUCUUUAGGACACAAGUACUGAACUGACAAGUCUCUUUUUUGCACCCUUUCACGAGCCAAAUGAAAGUCAGUUUCUAAAUGUUUGAUCCUGGAAUGCUAGACAGGAUUUAAGUUGAGAGCAAUUGCAGACUGAUUGUCACAAUAAAGGACUGGAAGAGAAUGCAGAAACACAUGUAAAUCUUUAAGAAGUAACCUGAUCCAAGCAAUGUAUGCAGUUGUAUGAGCUAAGGCACGAUAUUCAGCUUCUAUGGAACUCCUAGAAACAGAAGACUGCUUCUUUGAUUGCCAAGAGAUUGGAUUAUUUCCCAAGAACACCACAUAACUAGUAAUAGAACGUCUAGUGUUUAAAUCAGCCACCCAAUCAGAAUCACUAUAAGCAUUUACAAAUAAAGAUCCACCAGAAAUGUAUGUCAAUCCACAGUGAACUGUACCUUGCAAGUAUCGCAAGAUUCGUUUUACCCUGGCAAAGUGGACAUCAGUUGGAGCACUCAUGUAUUGACACAUUGUAUUAACCGCAAAGGCUAUAUUAGGACGAGUGAAAGUGAGGUAUUGGAGACCCCCAAGUAAGCUUCGAUACAAGGUAGAAUCAGACAACAAAGAACCAUCACUAGUUAAAACCUGAUUAUGAGGUUUACAAGGGGUGUAACAGUUUUUACAAUCAACCAUACCAGCCUUAUGGAUCAGAUCUUUUGCAUAUUUCCCUUGGUUGAUAAACAAAUCCCCAUUAGACUUAUAAGUAAUUUGAAUACCAAGAAAAUAAGCUAUAUGCCCCAUAUCCUUCAAAUCAAAGACCUCACUAAGAUUAGUAAUCACAUAUUACACCAACUCAGAAUUAGAGCCUGUGAUGAUUAUGUCAUCAACAUAUAGAAGUAAAAUAAUAACAUGAGUACCAUCUGUCUUCACAAAUAAACUGUAAUCCGAUAGAGAAGCUUCAAAACCAACAGUUUGUAGAUAGCCAGUGAAUUUUUCAUUCCAAGCUCGAGGAGCUUGUUUUAAACCAUACAAUGAUUUUACAAGCUUACACAUAUGAGUAGGAAACCUAGAGUCAACAAACCCUUGAGGUUGUUUCAUAUAAACCUCUUCUUGUAAUUCCCCAUGUAAAAACACAUUUUUAACAUCCAAUUGUCGAAGAUCCCAUUUGUAUGUGGCAGCUAAUGCUAAAAUUAAUCGCAUUGUAGUGUGUCUAACCACUGGACUAAACGUGUCUGUAUAAUCAAGACCUUGUUCUUGGCUAAAUCCUUGUGCUACUAACCGAGCCUUAAAUCGAGAAAUAGAGCCAUCACUAUUCCUCUUAAGCUUCUACACCCAUGUACUUCCUAUAACAUUCUUAUCUCCAGAAUUAGGGACAAGAAUCCAAGUACCUUAAGAUUGGAGAGCAUCAAACUCCUCUUGCAUUGUCAACUGCCACUGUGGAAUUUGUGAAGCUUGUUUGAAGCUUGAUGGUUUAGAAGCAUCAUGAAUAUCAGCAAGGAAUGUAAAACCCCCUGAAAAAUGAGCAUCAUCUUCUAGAGUUAAUGAAUGAACUUUAGGAAACAAAGCAGUGAGGGUAGAAUAAUCUUUUCAAGUAAUGGUGCAUGUUCGUAAUCGAGUUUAAAUGCCCUAUGAAGACACUGAACUUGUACCUGAGCUUGGUUGAAGGACAGGCAACAUGGAAUUGAAACCGGAAAGAGUAGCAUGUGUUCUAGAUCCUGGAUCAUUACUAGUAGGUGAUGAUGUACUUGUACUAGUAGUAGAUACAAAUCGAUGUUGAUGAGCUAAUGAACUGGAAGAUAAACUAUGAGACUCAAUAGUAUUAAUUGAAACCUCAGAGUUGUUAGUAGAACUAGGUAAUUGCACCACCAAAGGUCGAAUAUUCAUAGAAGAAGGUGAUGGAAUUGAACUCUAAGAAAAAGAACAAACCAUAUCCAUAUAAGGAAAGGAACUCUCAUCAUGCAAAACAUGUUUAGAAUAAGAAGCUUUCCUGUCAACAGAUUGUAGCAAAGAGCACCUUUAUAUCCAUUUGAAUAACCCAGAAAGAUGCAUUAAACAUAUCAAGAUUGCAGUUUGUGUGCAUUGUAAGGUCAAAGGUAAGGAUAAAUGGCUAAACCAAAGACCUUUAAAGUAGACAAUGCAAGUUUCUUGCCAUACAAUUGUUCAAAGGGAGAAGUCAUUUUAACACUUUACAAGGCAUUCGAUUAAUCAAGAAGGCAACAUGAACAACUGCAUAAGACUAGAACUUGUAUGGCAAUUGAGCAACUGACAUAAGAGUAAUAGCUGUUUCAAGCAAAUGGCGAUGCUUUUUCUCAACCAUGCCAUUUUGCUGAGGUGUGUAUGGACAAGAAACAUAAUGCAGGAUGCCAUUCUUAUCCAAAUUAUCCUUAAAGGAACUAUUCAAAAACUCUCCACCACUAUCAGAUUGGAAAACCUUUAUCUUAGCAUUAAAUUGAUUUGCAACAUAGGCACAAAAUUGAACAAAUGCACCAGAAACAUUUGAUUUAUUUAUGAGAGGAAAAAUCUAUACAAACCUAGUGGCUUCAUCUAGAAAAUAAACAUAGUAUCUAUAGCCUCCAACAUAAAGAACCGGAGAAGGUCCCCGAACAUUACUAUGUAUCUUGUAAAAUGGAAUAUCUAUCUUAUCAAUCAUUUCUAAAAAUGGUAAUCGACUCAUCUUACCACAAAUACAAUGAGAACAGACUUUUACAUUUUCAUUUGGACUACAAACUAUAUCAGAAUCUUUAAGCAUCACAGCAAGUAUCUCAUUAGAUGGAUGACCCAAACGUUGAUGCCACAAAGACUUUUGCAUAGUAUGUCCCAAAAAGGCAGAAGAAACACCACCUGAACUCAACAAUGUAGGAAACAUAUGUACUGGAAUUCUGAACAAUUCUUCUUUGCUAUUCUUUCCGUGAUGGAAGACUGCCCCUGUUGCCUUGUCCUGCACAAAGAACUAGACAUCAUCACAAAUAAACCAGCUAUGGUUAUCCUUGCAAAGCUUUUUAACUGAUAAAAGAUUAACAGUAAGCAUUGGCACAUGUAAGACAUUUCUAAGAUGUAAAACAUGAGAUUAAGUAAGCAAAAUAGUAUUGCCAAUAUGUUUGACUUCCAAACUUGCACCAUUGCCAACAAUUAUCUUCUCAUUUCCUUCAUAUGGAAUAACCCGGGUAAGAACAUUAACAUCAGGGCUCAUAUGAUGAGAUGCACCGGUGUCAAUGAUCCAUGAAUCACCAUUUACAACUUCAGGAGAACUUUGUGCAUUCAUAGCAAACAUAUUAGAAGGAUGAAUUGGAGAUACACUCCAAGGAUAUUGCGUAAAUGACACUGGUGAUGGAACUGUGGUGAAGAAGCAUACACAUAAACUUCAAGUGGAGAAGGAAACCCUUGAUAUGCAUAGUUAGCAGUCAAAGAAGGAGGUGGUUGAGUGCCUUGAUAAGCAUAGUUUGCUAUAUGUCUACAGUUGAGUGCAAUAUGACCCAUUUUUCCACAUAUUUGACACUCUUGAACAUUCAGACCAUUUUUAGUAUCAUUUCUAUAGAGACAUGUAAUAGCAACAUGACCCUUUCGAGAACAAAUUUGACACUCUGGAAUCUGGUCAUAUCUGUUAGAAGUAUUCGCAGACCAAGAUUGCCAUCCAUUCCUUGAAUUAUUGAACUUGGGUUUAUAGCCACCAUUGCCCCUUGGCCUGAAAUUGUUAGUAUUAUAGAAUCUCCAUCCAUUAUUACCAUUAGCAGCAGAUGGAAAGGCAGUAUUACCAUUUAAUUGAUAACUUGGAUAACCACCAUUACUAUGUGAGGAACCAAUGCCAUUAGAACCAUACCCAAAAUUAGAUGAUCCUUGAGAAGAAGAACCAAAAUUGCCCGAGAAUGGAGAGGGACUAGAAUUGUCCGAGAAUGGAGAUGAACCACUAUUGUCAGAAGUAGUAGUGGAAGAAUUGGUAUUGACAUACAUAGCAACCAUGCUUUGGACUAGAGAAUGUACCCUUGACUCAAUAGUCUUUUCAGUACCAAUUAACUGUGCUCGAAACUCUUUCAAAGUUAUUAGGGUAUCUCUAGCUAAAAUCACAGUGCGAAUUGUAUCAUAAUCAGGAGGUAAACCAGUGAGAGUAUCAAUUAUAAGAUCACUAUCAGAGACCUUUUCCCCUGCAACCUGCAAUUGAUCCUUAAUGCUUUUCAAUUGUAACAAAUACUUAUCAAUAAUAUCCCAUCUUUUUUGUAAAGUAUGAAGCUCAGCCUUCAAAUGAUUGACACUCGCACUAGAAACAUACAAGUAACGAUCUUGCAAAGCUAUCCAAGCUUCUCUAGAAGUUUUGCAUCCAACAACAUGUUAUAUAGGAUCAUCACUCAAGAUUGCAAUUAAAAGACUCAACAAAGCCAUAUCAGUCUUAAUCCAUACCUUAUAAGCAGCACUAAUCUCCGUAGUAACACCUACUUCAGGAGUGAGAACAAAUUUGGGAGGACAUACAAACUCACCAGUGACAUGAUCAAACAAAUCAUAGCCACGUAAAACAGACGAAAACUGGAAAUUCCACUUUAUGAAAUUAUCAUCGGUAAGCUUAAUAGUUAGCAUACCCAUCAAGCUUUCAAUCUUCACAUAAUUCGACAUAAUGAUCAGCAACAACAAUCUUCAAUUACCCAGCAAUAGAAACAAAUGCACAAUAUUGACAAUCUGAUGUCGGUAAGAAAAACCCAGAUGACAAAAUUCAAGAAAACUUAACUGCAAUCAAUAUAUGCUUCAGAAAUUAUCAAGAAUGAAAGAAACUCAGAUAUGGCAUCGGCCUUAAACAAUCAAGAACUUCAAGAAUUCACUAAUUCAUCAACAUAAUCGGCAUUAGCCUUCAGAUUCACAACGCAGUUACAAGGAAACAAUCAGCACCUUUGGCAUUGGCCUUGAGGCAAUUCAUCAACAAAUUCUUCAAACAACAUUCUUGUAUGGCAUCGGCCUUUAAAAUCCAAAAAAAAAAAAUCCAAUUUCAACAACUAAUCAGAAAUUCACAAGAAAGAUAUCACCUUAGCAAUAAUCGGAGCAACGAAAAACAUGAAUCAGGAGGCUGGCUCUUGAUACCAUCUUAACAUUCUGAAGAGAUCAAGAACAACUCACAGAUUAUACAAAGGAGAAAAAGCAAGGUUUAGAGAAGAAGCUAUGAAUCUCAAAGAUCUAGAAUUAUAUUUCUGUAUUCUCUACCAAUACAUGGAAGGAAAAUCACACUUUAAACUCUUCUAAUACAUUGACUUAAAUAGUAAGCUACCAAUCCCAUGUGCACAACACAUGUCAUUUACACUCCUAUCUAAUAUCAUGUGCACAUCACAUGUUAUUUACAUUCACAUCCAAUAAAAAUCACCUCCCGUUUCAGUUUCAACCUCUGCUGAAAGUAGUUAAACGCAAGAAAAGCACUUUCCGAAUUGUUCAUGUUAUUCAGAACCACCACAGCGUCGUGUUCCAAAAUAUUAUCCCCUAAACCUUUUAAAGCUUCGAAAACAUCACCUUCAAUCGGAGUGCAAGAGUUCAAAUACUCAGUGACUUUCACCAAAGAAGCGUACCUGGAAUUGUAGGACUUGUGCCGCAGCUGUGAAGCUCUGGGGCUGCUGGGAUUGACCCAGAUAUAGCUUUUCAACAAAGACCCGGAAUUUCCAUCUGGGCUCUGAAUAUUUCCAAUUUCUGGAGCUUUGGAGUUCUGGGAUUCUUCUGCAACUGGGUUUUGCAAAGAAACAUGGUGUAUUUGCAGAGAGGUUCGUGACUGAAAUUGUAGUGAAGGAAAACUGAGUCUGUGGGUGUUAAUUACAAGGCUUAAGAGUCAAAAAUCAGUCGGGGAAGAAGAAGAAGGGAGAGAGUGGGAGAGAGUUUUGGGGUUGCGGAAGAGAAUAUAGGGUGAAUAGCACAAGUGACAAGCCAUUUUCCUCACCCUGUGAGGGGAUCAUGCUUCUGCUUUGCAUUCCAGGGUAUAGGAAGAGGUUAAUUACUAUGUUUGCCUUAUGUGUAUACGUACCUUCUAAUAUUUCACAAAGGCAAACUUCACUGUCUUUUUUUUUCUCUCCUCCGUGAGAGCCCCUUCUCUCCUCCGUGAGAGCUUCUAAUGGGGGAUUAGAUCCGUACACUAUUGGCUAUAGGUCAGCGAGUGGGGUUUGGUCUUUUAUUUGGAAAGUUUGUGAGGAGCUCCCUAAUUUGUUUGCCAGAUCUGAUCUGAGUGUGGGCCGACCAAAGAACUAAAUGAAGGUACAGUAAUGUGAGCAGAGUCAUUUUUUGACUCUGGGAAGAAUCCCGCUUUGUAAAAUGAGGCAUUUAUCUCUCGUCUACUAUGGAUCCCUUCAAUGUGGUAGGGGCUGUUAGAAGUUGUAAGUGGUGAUGAGGAUUUAUUCCCACACCCACUCUCUACCUACCAGAUUUGAGGUAUUGGUGGGUGUUUAGAACAAUCCUCUGCUUUGUUAAGGUUUCAGCUGUGGUAAGGAAGGUAUGGACCACAGUUUCCAGUUCCGACUAAGCUUGAUGGCGAGUAAUGCACUCAUUUCUCUGUCAUUAAUUGUUGUUAGGGUUUCCUUUCACCAAAGCAUUAAAGUUCAGCGACAAGAUACAUCAUAGUAAUGUCCUGAUGUACGUACUUAUAUCGCUCCUAUGAGUGUUUAUUAUGAUAAGCAAUCGUAAGAGACGGAGAGCAAUCAAGAAAGGAAAAAGUUACAACCCUUACAAAAACAAAAUUCACAAGGAUUCCACACUCAAUCCCCUUCAACUCAUCUAUUCCAAUGAUCCAGAGCACAAAGCAAAGCAUGGCAGAACAAGAGAUUAAAGACUUGGUGAUUCACCUUGAUAAAUCCAUGGAUGUGUCGACCAUGGAGCAAGGGAUAGAUUUGGUUGGGGCGGCCCUACUGAGUAAAACCUUGAACAAGUGGGUGUUCAAAAUAUCCUCAGGUCUUCCUGGAAGGAACUGGGUGAAGUAGAGAUAAAAUGGGUAAAAGAGAAUACUUUCAUUAUAAAGGUGCAGGAUGAGAGCACUACUGCAAAGAUUCUAAGUCAGGUUCCAUGGGCAACAAUGGAAGAAAACUUUUAUGUAAAGAAAACUUUUAUGUAAAGAGAUGGCCAAAAGACUUGGUGCUGGAGGAAGUAGAGCUAGAAAAAAAUCCCAUUUUGGGUACAAAUCAGGGGGGUGCCACCCUGCCUCAUUUCGGAAGCCAAUGUACAACACCUCACAAAGGAAAUAAGGGAGUUCAUUGAGUUAGAAGACCCAGCUAAAACUCGUGGCUUCAUUAGCACCAGUGUAGUGGUUGAUACUCGUACCCCUUUGACUACUGGAUGCUGGCUACCAAGAGAUGAAGAGAAGGAUACCUAGGUGGAGUUUAGAUACGAGUGGUUGCAAAACUUUUGUUAUCGGUGUGGGCGAAUUGGUCAUGCGAUGAAUGAAUGCUCAUUUGAUCAAACCAGAGGAAUAACGGUUGGCUAUGGGGAGUGGACUAAAGCAGCACUUAUUCGUGAUCUGAUUGAAACGUUUGGACCUCUCAACAUCGGGAUGGGUGAGUAUAGACAACCGAGUACGGCUAGGAGAGGUACGAGGAAGGUAACCCUACAGCCUAACAAACUUGGAACCAUGGGAAGCAAUGUAGGAGAAGGAAGUAGCUAGAUUGAGGUUAGGUGUCCUAGAGGAAUAACUAGGCGCAAGAAAUGGUGGAAGCAAAGUUACAGGGUAAACCAACUUGGUAUGGAUCCUGGGUCUCUCAUCCCUCACCGGCUAACUUCCUAGGGUCACCAAUACCUGAAUCGACAGAACGCCCACCAUCAGAUGCAAGCUGGCUCGACCUCGGUGGUCAUAUAAAAGAUUAGAGAUGAUGACACUCAAACUAGGGGAGAGUUAGCUUUGAGUAGGGUGGUGGCAGAUGGUACUCAGUCUAAGAAGGGCAUAAACCUUAGCGUGAUGGAGAUCCACCAUACGCCUAUACAAAAAAAGUAAAAAAGUUGAGAAUAGUGAAGAGAGGAAAAAAAAGUGGCAGAUAAGCUUAGGAUAAUGAGCAUCAGGGAGAGGUGUCUGAUGAUGGAGGAAGCCUUAUAUACGAAGGAAGAGUCCGAAGAAAUCUGAAAUGAAUACAAGGAAAUGUGGGAAUUCAUAGAGAACGUUUCGAAGACUGCGAGGAGGAACCCGCAGGAAAGACGUGAAUGGUCGAGCUCUCAAGGCGGUGGUGGCUGGCCUAAUACAACUGCACGAUCACCAUGACACACCUAUUUUGGAAUUGUCGUGGUCUUGGGUCGGACAUGGUAGUUUGAGCCCUACAUGGGCUGAUUAGGAAAUACAGACCUUCUAUGAUCUUUCUCUUAGAGACUAAAAUGAAAUAUCAUAGAAUUGACGGUGUUCGUAGGAGAAUGGGUUCCCAAAUGGUUUCAGGGUUGGUAUGGCUAGUGGUCUCAACCUAUGGUGGGAUGAUUUAAUGGAGGUUAAGAUUAUGUACUCUUCAAAGCAUGCCAUUGAUGCAUGAGCCAUAGGAAUGGGUGAAAUCAGGUGGUCCAGGGUGACAGGAAUUUAUGGUACGGCUUACAGAGAGGAGAAAUACCAGUUCUAGGGUUGGAUGAACACCUUCUUUAAACCUACUUACAUUCCCUGGUUGUGUGGAGGAGAUUUUAAUGAGUUUAUCUGGGAGUCUGAAAAAUCGGGAGGCGCAUCGGUUCUGUACAACCGCCCUUAUUUCUUAGCACACUUCAUGGAGGGCUUAGAAUUAAUUGACCUUGACUUCAAUGGACUUCCCUUCACUUGGCAUGGGACACGAAAUGGGACUCUUGUGGAGGUUAGGCUUGAUCGAGGGCUGAGCAACUGGUGUUGGCAAGAUUGUUGGUCUAACACCUCUGUUACCCAUGGCACUAUAGUGGGCUCAUACCACUGCUCGCUCAUAAUCUAACAUGACCCUAACCAGGCUAAAUGUAAGAAACAUUUUCGCUUUGAAACCUUCUGGGCAAAAGAAAAGGAUUGCAAGCAGGUAUUGAGACAUGCUGGCAUCGUGCUUGUAAUGGUGAUCAUGUUUCUAGGUGGCAGCUGAAGCUUAAUGAUUGCAGAUCCAGGUUGAUCAGAUAGAGCAAACAAAAAUUUAAGGUGUGUGUGGGUGAAAUUGAGGAGCUAAUGGGCCAACUCGAGGAGUUGAAAAAUAAUUGGGCAACAAAUGCGAAUAGAAUCCAGGAAAUUACCAUUAGGGUUGACAAGCUUCUGGAACAAGAUGAGCGUUUUUUGCAGCAAAGGUCUCUGGUCAAAUGCCUUCGUAAUGGUGAUGCUAAUACUGCAUUCUUUCACCAAUCAACCCUGCAAAUGAGGAGAAGAAAUAAUGUGGUGAAGCUCAGGAAGGAUGAUAGCGUGUGGAAGGAGAACCCAAACGGUCUUAAAUAUUUAAUUGAUGAAUACUUUAUCAACCUGUUUAAAUCUGAGGGUCCUAGGGAGCGGGGUCAGGUGCUGGAGUGUAUCACUCUGUCGGUGACUGAUGAAAUGAACCACACUUUAUUAUUACGGAUCACCCAUGAGGAAAUUGCUAUUGCUGCUCGGCAAAUGGGUGACUUAAAGGCCCCGGGCCUUGAUGACUUUCAAGGAAUUUUCUACCAUUCCUAUUGGGACUGUAUUGUGAAGGAGGUUAAUGAGCUGGUUAUGUACUUGUCGAAAUGAGAUACUUGUCCUUGGCAACUUAGUGCGACCCAUAUUGUUUUGAUCCCAAAGGUUCCGAACCCGGAAUUUGUAUCUUAAUUCCGACCAAUUAGCUUAUGUAACUUCUCCUAUAAGGUGCUCUCCAAAGUCUUAUUAAAUAGACUCAAGCCUUUACUCCCCAAGAUUUUUUCUCCUAUACAGAAUGCUUUUGUUGGGGGAAGACAAAUACAGGACAACAUUGGGAUAGCGCAUGAGCUUUUCCACUUUCUUAAGCUCAGGAAAACAAAGUCUAAGUUCGAACUGGGUAUUAAACUGGACAUGCACAAAGCCUAUAACCGUGUGGAUUGGGAUUUCCUGGAUGCGGUUAUGGAAAUGAUGGGAUUUCACAGUACUUAGCAGAGGAUUAUCAUGGGGUGUGUGACCUCGGUUAAUUUUGCUAUGCUUCUCAAUGGUCAACCUGGAAAUAAAUUCGUCCCUUCGCGGGGGCUUUGACAGGGCGACCCUCUUUCCCUGUACCUAUUUCUAAUGGUCAAUGAUGUCCUUUCUAGGAUGACAUGCCGUUCUACGGAGACCAACAACAUGCAGGGGUACGGAACAGCCAGCAUGACCCUCCCAUUUCCCACAUCUUCUUUGCUGAUGAUACUCUCAUUUUCUUAAAGGCUGAUAGGUCAAACUGCCAGGUGUUGGGCCAGCUCAGUGAGGAUUUCUGUGCUGCCUCUGGUCAGGCCGUAAACUUACAGAAAUCUUGUGUGUUUUUUAGUGCCAACAUUCAUGCUGCAAUUUCAGAGGAGUUGGGAAAUAUUCUUGGGGUUCCGGUUGUAUCGGAUCCUGGGACUUACUUGGGAGUUCUUGCUAUUUGGGGUCGAUCCAAGAGUCGUGGCCUUGCUUAUGUGAAAGGUAGAAUGUUUGGAAAAAUCCAAUGAUGGAAGCAGAGCACUUUAUCCCAAGCUGGCAAAGAGGUUAUGAUAAAAUAUGUGGCCCAAGCCAUACCUGCUUACCCAAUGAAUUUAUUUAAAUUUGCAGAUGCAGUCUGUAAUGAAUUGGACUCCAUGAUUAUGGGGUUCUGAUGGGAGCAGAAACAUGGUGAAAAAAAAAAAUCAUUGGGUGUCUAAAUGCAAAUUAGGCCACCCAAAGAAUAUUGGAGGUUUGGGUUUCAGAAGUUGCAAAAGUUUUAAUGAUGCUCUCCUUGCUAAGCAAUGUUGGAGGCUGAUUGUGGAACCAAAUUCGAUAUGGCCUCUGUUCUCAAGGCCAAGUACUAACAUUGCUAUUUUCUAGACGCCAAACGGGGAAGUCGUGCUUCGUGGGCUUGGACUAGUUUACUCGUGGGUAUAGAUGUUAUCAUGCAAAGGGCUAAGUGGCAGAUUUCUGAUGGGCGUGAGGUGCGGUUUUGGAUUAAUCGUUAGCUGAUAAGCUCAUAUUUAUAUAUAUUUUACAUCAUAUUCACUUAUUUUUUCUUAGUUAGUUCCUUAUAUUUUUGAGCUAUUUACUUUGUUUUUGUGUUUUGUAGGAUUUGUCAAGCAAAGAAAAGAAAAAUAGCACAAGUGUGAUUUUAAGUAACAAAUUCGUCAAAACUGCGUGUGUAGGUCAGCUGACUUUGGAAGCAAUUUGCGAACAGCUCAAAAUGAAUUAGAGAAUGAGCCUUAUAUUCUUGGAAAGCUACGGAUGUCUAUUUUCUGGAGCAUUUCACAGAUUGCUAAUAUCAUUUUUCUAGAAGACGUUAUGGCCGUUUUAACACUAAAACGUUCCUAAGAGGCUGAGCAGUUUGUAACUGACAAGAAAGCAUUGAAAGCAAUAAAUCCAAUAAAUCUAGCAGCCAAAACUGAUGCAGCAAAGAACAAGCCAGCUGACACCUAUUCAAAUAUAAGAGGAAAUGAAAUUAAAGAUGAGGAUUAAAUGGGAGUAAUUGGCAUAAAGGUUGCCCAAAGAGUUACAAUUGUUUUACCAAUUUCUCUCACUUAUUGUCAACACUAAAUGGCUGUUAGUGGGGUGAGUUAAGGAGAAGAAAUAAGGUAGCAAGCAAGAAGAAAAAGGUUGCAGGUUGCGGCGGCAAAGAUAGAGAAAAAAAGAUAGAAAAAAAGGAAAGGAAGGAAAAAAGGCAAGGCUGCUGCGUUGGGGAAGGAAUGAAAGGAAUGAGGAAAUCUUGGCAUUCUCUUCUUUCGGUUUUAUCUUCUCAAACUCAUGUUUUUCUUUUGGUUUUAUUUGAGAAUUAUGUGUAACUAAAUUUUUAGAAGUUAUGGGCUGUUUUGAAGCCUCGAAUAUGAUUGCAAGUUUGUUAUGACAUUUCGUUUGAAUUACUUUUAUGAAUGGAUGAAAAUUGGUUCACUACUUGUCUUAUUGAUGAAUUCUUUAUUUGUUUUCUAUGGAUGCAUACGUAGUAAGCAUAUCUAGGAUUCUAACGCUAUGAAUAUGUGUGUGCCUGCCCUGUCGAAUGAGGACCUACAUAUGUUCUAGAGUAGUACUUGUUAAUUGCGAUUAACAUGUGAACCAAUUUCUAGGAUAAGUAAGACAACGCCAGUACUUACGAUGCCUUGUGAUAACUCAAACUCUUUUCGUUCUUAAUGAUUUCUACUUGUUAAAUCUAUGAACACGUCAUUCUAGAUUGCAUGCUAGGGACUAAGUUAAGUUGAAAAUGUCAUUCUCUUAACAUACUACGUAACAAAGAGUACUAAGUUGAGUUCUAACAUUGAGCGAACUUGAGCAUCUUCAUCUGGAAAUAAAAGGAAUUUGAAUAAAACAUAACAUGUUUGCAUGAUUAUUUGGUGGUGGAUAACAAUAACCCUAACUCGUUUUUCUUAAUUUGUGAACUAUUUAAAAUUUGCUUAUGUCAUGUUUUUGUUCGAUUUAAUUUUAAUAUAAAAUCAACUCCAAAAAUCCCAAAACUUUGUAUGAGUGUAGCUCUGUCUGUCUAGUGUUUUCAUAUAAAAUUUCGUAGACUUUAGAUAUGUUUAAGUCAGUCUAAUAAUUAUUUUUCCGUGGCUGGUCAGUAGGGACAGUAGCCCAGUUUUUGUGACAUUUUAAGUAGUUAGAUAAAACAAUCUUCUGCGGAAAAUACCCUUAUUUUCAUAUGCUACAAUUGACAAAUCUUAAUGUUAAUAAGGAAAAUAAAUAAGACAUUUGUGUGCUACUUUGUGGUGUGCACUUAAUCCUAUCAUUAGCUCAUCUCCCUCCCUUUGGGCCAUCAUAUUCCGAGGGGACCGGUGCAUGUUACACUAGAUACUCAGGUUCAAACCUUUCUGUGCCCAAUCACUAGAUCGUGGGACUUGAACUCUCUCCUCCCAUUCCUCUUCACAAAGGAAUUGGAUGAUGUCACAGGCUCUGAUGUGGGUAUUGGUUCUGGAUUGGAUCGUUUCAUCUGGCAUGAGACGAAGACUGGUGUAUACACGGUGAAAUCUGGGUACCUCUCGUCCAUCCACGUCCUGCACCACUCCUAAGUGUGUGUGGAAAAUUAUUUGGAAGCUUCAAACCCCGGCAAAAAUCAGGUUUUUUCUAUGGAAGACUUUCCACCGCUCUCUUGCCACGAUGGAUGACUUGUUCAUUCGUCAAUCUACCCCUAACCCGAUGUGCCCGAUCUGCCUUUUCCAAGAAGAGUCAAUUGUGCACCUUCUUUUACUUUGCCCAUGGGUUGAAAAAUCUGGUUUGGAUGGAUGUUGAAUUAUAAGAUUAACAGAAGUGAGGUCUCAAGUUGGGUGGAUUGGUUUGAUCAAGUGGCGUUCAUUCGGUUGGGUGCUAAUGGGGACUGGUUGCACGUGCUCUUUUAUAUUGCCUUCACUUGUUGGCACAUAUGGAAGUCUCGCUGCAAUUUUGUGUUUAAUCAGAGACUAAUUAACCCUACCCAAGUGGUUUGUGCUAUUAAUAACUCGACGGGAGCCUUUACUGCUGCUACCCGGCAACUGCAUCAUCUCUCGUCUCUUAUCCCUCUUGUGGAUGUUAGUCCAUCUAGGUGGUCCCCCCUUCCACGAUGUACAAGAAAAUCAAUGUUAAUGCUAAUUGGUCGAAGCAGACACGUUCGGCUUUGUGGGAAUUAUGGUAAGGGAUGAUGGUGGCUCUUUUAUGGCAGCGGUCAGGUAUGCUUUUCGAUCCCCUUGUGUUGGUGCUGCUGAGGCAAUGGCUAUCCUCAAGGGGUGUGAAUUUGGUCUGUCGCUGAGGCUCAAGAAGGUGGUUGUGGAAUCUGACUCGACGGAGUUUAUCUCGUCCCUGGUGGACUCGCAAGAUAAUGGCAAAUGGGAAGCUUUCCCUUACUUAGUAAAAGCUAAAAAUCUAGGGGAUUCUUUCCAAAAUUGUCGCUGGUCUUGGAUCUUAAAACUAGCCAACAUGGCGGAUGAUGCUUUGGCGUUGCAAAGUUGCUCGGAGAUGUGCGAUGUUUUUUGGGUCAACAGACCCCCAUCUUCGCUUGUUCACAUCCUUCACAACGACGGGAUACCUUGCCCUGCCGGGGGGCUUUGGAGAGGGUGACGCAAUAACUAGGUUACUGCGUCUCCAUUGUAACUAUCUCCUUUGCCCUAUGUCUUUUCUUUACUUUUGUUUUGCUUGCCUCCUUGUAGGCUUUCUUGUUUCGUUUGGAAUCUUUGCCCGGUUUGAAUCUACUGUUUCCAAAAUAAAUAAAAUAAAAGGAGAAUGGAAUGAAAAGUAGGCCUAGGAGUAGUUCUUCUUCCUGGGAACAAAUUAUUACACACGUAUCUAGGUUGUUGCUGAUGAUGCUCUCUCUCUCUCUUGUUGACAUUUGGAGGGGCUGAGGGAACAAGGAUUUGUUUAGUUUAAAGUAAUGUUAGAGAAAUUAAAUUUGUAAACAAAAUUUGCAAAUUAAAUGAUGUGUUACUAAUAAGAAAUUAGCACAUUUAUAAAUGUUUAAGUAAUAAUCCAAUCAUCAAUUUUGAUGCCAUUUAGUUUACAAAAUUUUGUCUACAAUUUUAGUCUCCCUAGUAUUACUCUUUAGUUUAUGGUGGAAUCUAACGAUGUGGGGAUUGAAAAUAAUGAUAUAGUUGAGCAUUGUUAGACGAGGAAUGAUAGCUAAAUUUCAUUCUUUAGUUUACUCAUAUGAGCCCAGGGAGGCCAAGGGUUUGCUUAUGGGUGGGAAAUUUACAUGAAUUGGAACACACUAUCCUAACCAACUAGUGUAACUCAUAUAAGUCCCGGGAAGCCAAGAGAUUGCUUCUGAGUGGGUUUUUGUUUUUGGUAAAGAAAGAAAAAAAAAGUAGUUUAGAUUAGAACAAGCGAGUUGAAUCUGGUAGGAGAAAAAAAAAGAUUAGCUUUUGAAAAUAAAGGUAAAUAUAGAAAAAUAAUAAUGAGUUUUUUCAAAAGAAAUAAAAAUUGUGUUUAUGUUAAUAGAAUUCAUGUUACACUUAAUAAAUGAGAAAGAUAAGUGAAAAUGCAAAUAAGGAAGGUAGCUAGAUUCUUCUAUUCACACCUCCUGCUUCUGGGUGGGUUUUUGUUUUUGGUAAAGAAAGAAAAAAAAGUAGUUUAGAUUAGAACAAGCGAGUUGAAUCUGGUAGGAGAGAAAAGAUUAGCUUUUGAAAAUAAAGGUAAAUAUAGAAAAAUAAUAAUGAGUUUUUUCAAAAUAAAUAAAAAUUGUGUUUAUGUUAAUAGAAUUCAUGUUACACUUAAUAAAUGAGAAAGAUAAGUGAAAAAUGCAAAUGAGGAAGGUAACUAGAUUCUUCUGUUCACACCUCCUCCUCAAUUCCACUCUUCACUAAUCGCUUAGUAGUAGUUGAUGAAAAUCAACUUGCGAAAUAGGAAAUAACUAAUAGUCUAUAUUAAUGAUAUAAUGAACAAAUUAACGUGAUUGUGACUUGAAAACCACCAAGAUCAACAACCAACUUUAUCAUUCACUUAACAAUAUAUGGCCCUCCUAUAAUAUUAAUAUCAAACAACAAACACUGCUAAAAUAUUAUCCCGAGAUUGAAGAAGGUGUCACGGUCCAACAAGAUGAUCGAUGAUUUACAUGAUUGUGCAAGCUGAGGGAUUUUCUUCAUAAUACCCUCUGUUGCCACUGCCGUAACUGUCAUACACAGGCCUCCCAUAAUAACCAUCAUACUGGAUGUACGGGGAUGGCCCCCCGCCAUAACCACUAUGCCACGACCCACAUGCACGCCCCUGGUAACAAUCCAUACAACACGCUUGAACAGGCGGUGGGUACCCUGGCACAUAAGGAACCGGCUGCAUAUAAAGAGGAGAAUGCUUCACUAGCUCCAUCUGUGGUAUAGACUUCUGGACCUCCUUGGGUGUGUCUGCCGGUUUAGAUUUGUCGGCCUCUUUGGGUUUUUCUAUGCCUUUAGGUUUGUCUGCAAGCUGUGGCUUGGGCUUCUCGGGCUCUUUGAUCUCGAUGCUUUUGAUAACACUCCCACCUUUGUAGCAAAUCUUGUCCCUUAUCUUUUCAG
rnacentral:lncRNA from 1 species